GGAGAGGUGGCAGAGUGGCCGAAUGCGCCGCAUUGCUAAUGCGGUGAGGCGGUUUCCCGUCUCCGAGGGUUCAAAUCCCUCCCUCUCCGCCA
rnacentral:tRNA from 1 species